rnacentral:tRNA from 1 species
GUGGCUAUAGCUCAGUGGUAGAGCAUAUGUUUAGAAUGCACAAGGUCCUGGGUUCAAUCCCCAGUACCUCCA